AUGAGAGGAGCAGGUCCAUUCGGAUGCAAAGACCUGGGAGCUGCUUACCAGGAGACCCCUGUUCAGUGGGAGAGGGCUUUGUGAGCAGAGAAUGUUGGCUGCCUGACUCUGCUGGCCCCAGGUCAGGUCUGCUGGCUGACUUCAGAUGAUGGAGAGUCCUGCAGAGGGUGGGGUCAGCCCUGCAGCCUUCUGGGUGCAUUACAAAGACUUGCUCGGGGAUUUUCUUUUGCCGCACAUAAAUGCUUUGUCUACUUCGGUUUCGAUGGAGCCAAUUUUCAUUUCUUCAGCUCCCAUUGGGUCCCUAGACUGCCUCAACCAACACUGAGGUCUGAGGCUCUGCCCCCAGACUGGUUGGUUCAACAAAGCAGCCGCUGUGUGCUGAGCAGCACGCUACACAGUGGGAUUACAGAGAGAGAGAGGUAUGGAGGGAGAAAGAGAGGGAGAGAAACAUCAGUCAGUUGCCUCUUUCGCAUGCCCCAGCUGGGGACUGGCCUGC